UGGAAAAGAGAAGAAGAAGGAAAAAAAAAAAAAAAUAUAGUUCGUUCUCGAUCCGAUCUGAUUUAUUCGAUAGAAAAACGAGAAAGGGAAAGAAAAUUAUUGAAAUGGCGACCAAUAAAUAAACGAAUAAAUCUCAAUACUGAUAUUAUUACACGGUUGGACGAGUCACCGGUGUUCUCUUACGCAGAAUGUAUCCUUGCCAAGAGCAGCGUUUUUUUUCUCGCCGCGGAGAGGACGUAAAAAUAUACGUGGCUCGUUCUAAGGACGCGAGACAUUUGGUCCUUGAUUCUUCCUCGUAUUAAUAAAGAUAUAAGGCACGAGCGGAUCUCUAAAGGCACCGGG